UAGGCAUUCCAUGUUUUCCUUUCAGUCUGUUUUAGUCACAUGAUACACACAGGAGUUACAACUGGAUUGCAUAACCAUUGUUUUUGAUGAGUUUUGAUGGUCUAAUAAUUUUUUGCGCAACUGUAGUGAAGAUAGCGGAUGAAUAUGAAUGAAUUUACAUCUCAACAACAAACAAAAAAAUAAGCAAAAUAAUCAACAUAAUGAAGAAACAAAUAACAAAAUGGACAAAAAUAGCAAUAAAAAACAAAAUUGAUUGGGACGAUGAUAAAUAAUCGACGAAAUGAACAGAAUAAUCAACGAUGAGGACAAUAAUGAACCAAAAAUGAGCAAAAUAACCAACGAAAUGAACAAAAAUUGACUAAAUAAUCAAUAAAAUAAACGAAUAUUCCAAACAAAGGGAAAGGGUGAGGAAAAAAAUCCAAAAGUUUACAAAAAUGAACUGGAAAAUGGACAAAAUAAUGAGUAAAUCUAAAGAAAAUAGUCACCAAAAUGGACAAAUAUGAUGGAAAAAAAAUUAAAAGGUUGCAGGAUAAAAGUCAGAAGGUUGACUAUUUUCUUUAGAUUUUUUCAUUUUCAUUAUUUUACCCAUUUUCAGUUAAUUUUUGUCCACUUUUUUGGAUUAUUUUCCUCAUCCUUUCCCUUUGUUUGGAAUAUUUUAAUUUUAUUGUUUAUUUAUCCAAUUUUUGUCCAUGUUGUUGGGUGUUUAGUCAUUUUUGUUGGUUUUUUUUGUGCAUUUUUGGUUCAGUAUUGUACUUAUUGUUGAUCAUUCUGCACAUUUCUGUUCAUUUUGUAGAUUGUUUAUGGGUUGAGGAGGCGAUAACGAUAACAAAUCAGAAGAAACGACAGUAAACAGAGUCGUCCAUGGAUCAGAUUUAUUUGUCCACCAUUUUACUGCUUCCAAAACAUCGGCUUUGACGUCUAAAUGUUCAUUCGCUGCCUCAUAAAUCCAACCCAGUGAAAGGAACCAUUGUAAUUAAAUCGUAUUAUUACCAUUUCUCCUGUCUUGGGUCUGAAUAUUAUGGCUGAUUGGUGUCAGUCAACAUGGUCGCAUUAAACCGGUCUCAGUAAUCCAGUCCCAGACAACAGGAAAAUGCAUAAAUUUUAAUGUCAUAAUUUCUAUUAAGGACAAUGCAUAAUCAAACACAUGGUCAGGUGCAGUAUGAACAAACUCUUUCUGCUUUUAAUACUAUCUCAACUCACAAACAUUGAAAAUUAAUCUGGAUGAUGCUUAUUUAUGGUUUGUAAACUCUUAUUUAUGGUUACAAUAGGACAAAAACAGCAGAACAUUUCACAAAUGUGGAGGUAGAACUAUUAAGAUAUAGAGCAGGGUAAAAUUAAGUGAAGCAGCAAAGUAUUGAAAAAAAUGUUUGUUUUUAAUUGUUUAUUCUAACAAAAUGAACCCUAAGGACAAAAGAAGACUGUAUAUUCUAAUAGACAAUAAAUAUCAUUGAAUAAUGACAAUGCAGCUCUUGUACAAUAACAAUGAGGAAUAAAAUCACAUUAUAGGGUGAGGACUUAAUAAAUCAUAAACUCAGUCUGAACACACAUUGAAUCCACAGUUAAAUUUCCUGAAUCAGAAACAUUAGAAGGGAGAAAUAACAGAAUCCAGUCAUAAUCAGUUCACAUAAACCUGCACAUAUACUAUAAACCACAUAUACCUCAGUCAGUACCACUGUUAACUCUGUACUGGAACCAUGACAUGGACCACUGUAACUCUGAUUCCUGUGUUUGUGACAAUAGAUAAUGUUAAAGCCAGAGUUUCUGAUCCGUGUCUGUCACUGUUUUCCUGAGUGGCUGUGGACAUCUGCGUCACCAGUAUACAGUGGGUUAUUAAAACACACUACAGAUCCAGACCAACUCUGAAUACAAGCCUAUCUAUGCACAAAUGUGCUUUUAAAGGUUCAACAAGCUUUUAAAGACAACAAUGUAGCUUCUGGUUUUUUUGUUUGUUUGUUUCCUAAUUUAUUGUUAAAUUGUGCUUAAUUGGAGCGUUUGUCUGUAAUAAAUAACACUUAGCAUCUCA